UCGACACCCAAGUCCGAGUUGCCAUCGUUUCUCAGCUUCCCACGGUGGUGUCGUCCACCCCUUCUCUGUCUUGUAGCCUCGACCUUACAGUCAGUAGGAGCUUGAGGAAGUCCUAGUCCAGCCGCAGCACUGACUCCACGCAGCCCUUCAAGGGUUUCCGGAUAAAGAAUCGCAUCUAUGCCUGCAACGUCGGUCAUUUGAAAACUCCCGAAGGCUUUGUGAAAAACUGCAAAGUCACAGUUGAUGAGAAACCUAGGGAAUAGGGAGUUCUGAUUGAUCAGCUUUUCUGUUUCAGUGAAUCAUUAGCUAGAAAACCCUUAUUGUUUAGAGAGGGGGAAACGCUUCCUAAGAGUCUACUUUCAUGCCUUAUAUGGGUUUUACCGCAAACAGUCUAACCUCUUGAUCUAGUCUGACUGUCUCUCCUGGGGGAUGUGACUGAACAGGGCUGGCUGGUACCGUUACAGGUUUGUGGCGGGGAUGGGGCCUUCCCACCUGUCCCCUUAUCUGUCCCGCAGCCCAGAUUCCAACCUAUCCGUGGCUCCCGAGUCCCCAGCAUAACUGAACACCCUCCCCACCCCCCAGAGACAAAGGAUCCUCCAGUUCCAUGCCCCGCCCAAACAGCUGCCACAGGUUCCCCCAGCUUUCUCUCUUUCCUCCAGACUUUGAUCAAGACACGUGUGCUGAAGGCUGAAUUUGUAUUCAACUCAGGGAACACACGAGAUAAGGAAGUUGAGGCUGAGAGAGUCACAGAACUUGCCUGAGGGCACCGUCACCAAGUGCAGAAGCUGAGCUGCAGGCCCAGGUGAGUCUGACUAAGCGCCCCCUGCCAAUGGUAACAGCCCCCAGGCUAGACACCUUUACAUAACCUGUUGUUAUCCUCAAAAGACCCCGUAUGGUGGGGAUUAUUACCCUCAUUUUACGCUGGAGAAAACUAAGGCUUACCCUCUGUGAUAAGAGCACUCAACAAACUGGAGUAGAAGGGCAGUUCCUCAACCUGAUAAAGGCAUCCACGAAAACCCCACAG